rnacentral:rRNA from 3 species
GUGACAUGUUAGGACUCUAAUGAGUUUAAGACCUAAUGAGCCUCUUAAGUGAGGCCGCCAGCAACCUUUUUUUUCUCUACAUUUUAAAAAAAAAACUAAAAUUCUACCCUUAUCGGUGGAUCACUAGGCUCGUGGAUCGAUGAAGAACGCAGCAAACUGCGAUAAUUAUUGCGAACUGCAGAAGUAUUGAGCACAAAAGUUUUGAACGCAAAUGGCCGCAUUGAGGUCAAACUCUUUGCAACGUCUGGUUCAGGGUCAUU